UCCUACGGGUGGCUGCAGUGGGGAAUAUUGGACAAUGGGGGGAACCCUGAUCCAGCCAUGCCGCGUGUGUGAAGAAGGCCUUAUGGUUGUAAAGCACUUUAAGCGAGGAGGAGGCUCCUGUAGUUAAUACCUACAGUGAGUGGACGUUACUCGCAGAAUAAGCACCGGCUAACUCUGUGCCAGCAGCCGCGGUAAUACAGAGGGUGCGAGCGUUAAUCGGAUUUACUGGGCGUAAAGCGUGCGUAGGCGGCUUUUUAAGUCGGAUGUGAAAUCCCCGAGCUUAACUUGGGAAUUGCAUUCGAUACUGGGAAGCUAGAGUAUGGGAGAGGAUGGUAGAAUUCCAGGUGUAGCGGUGAAAUGCGUAGAGAUCUGGAGGAAUACCGAUGGCGAAGGCAGCCAUCUGGCCUAAUACUGACGCUGAGGUACGAAAGCAUGGGGAGCAAACAGGAUUAGAUACCCUGGUAGUCCA
rnacentral:rRNA from 1 species